ensembl:lncRNA
ACUACAAAAUGUUCAUCAAGAGAAAAUAAAUAAUUGUGUUGACAGAACUUUUAACGUUGCACAAAAAAUAUUAUGUUGGCCGAGCAAGAGGGAACAGCGUCAAUCGUCUGAGCAUGCGCAAAGUUCUAUCAGGCGCCUCCUGGAAUUUCCCCCACCACGAGUCACGACAUUGCAGUGGUGAGUGCUUUGUGCUGCGAGCAGAAGAAAGAAAUUCAUACAGGUUUGAAACAACAUGAGGACCACAGAUCUAACUACUUAUAGAAGGUCUGUUGUUCUUCAUGGUCUUCCCCUGUACUUGAGAGAGCCAGCUUAAAUUUCAAAGACUAUUUAGGAUACUGAGGCACUGGGGCCACACACAAAGGCCAUGAAAAUGGGGAUCCUGGAAGUGACUGACAGUUCUACCAACUCAGGACCAUAUCCCACAGUGGUCAAUGUGGCUGUAGUACUGGAGGAAGAAGUUGUCAUGUUUUACUGAAUUUCAUUUUGUAAAGCAGAUAUUUGUUUUUCCAGUACAGCUAUUGACUAAGAGUGAUAUGUCAUGCUUUCUUGAACUCUCAGAUCUUGUUUUGGCACUGGUUGAAUACUUGUGUAAUAUUUUACUUGAGCCUAACAGGCAAGUUCAUAUGUAUUUAAAUAAAUACAUAAAAUGUUCUUUAUCAAAGCAUAGUGUGUAAUUUAUUUGAAAUAAUGAAAAAUAGACUAUUUUGACCAACAUUAAUGAAAAAUAGACUUAUUGGCCAACAUUAAAUAUUUAAUACAACAUUUUAUUUCAAUUUGAGUCUGCUUGUUGGCCCAACAAGCUAUGUUUAGUCAACAGAAAAUAUUUAAUUGACACAACAUUCUAUUUCAAGUUCAGUCUACAUGCAGGGGUAGUCAGCACAACACAAAAAAGUUGGUUUCCGCAACUUAAAUUGGGCCAACUAAAAAUUUUAGGUGCAACGGGUCACUAGAAAUUUUUAUGUUGGAGAGGCAUAUAUUUUUUUACAGUGUGGUAUCAUAUAAGUGGUUCUUGUUUUCUUCAGAAUCGAACUUCUACACACUGGAUAUCAAGUUAAAGAAAAUAAAUAAAUUUGUGUUUUGAAGGAAUUGGUCAAAUUAAUUAUUUAAUAAUAAUAACAGCCACUUGUCGCCAUCUACUGGCUGAACUACAGUAUGUAACCUGUCCAAUCAAAUCCGAUAACCUGAACUAACUGUAGAAUAACAUUGAUGCAGACUUCAAGUACAAUCGGAAACUGCCUACUUCCCAAUUCUGAAGCUAUAAUUACGAAUUAGUCUCGUUCAAGAGCUUUGUUGUUGGAAAGAACAGAAAUCAUGGUGGAUGGUGGAUGGAAUUCAUGAAUUCAUUCUUGCCUCUUUCUUGAGCAAAUCUUAUUAAAGACCAGAGGUAUAGAAAAUAUUUAGUCAAUAUCCAACAGGUUUUGAAUAAAAUGUAGCAUCCAAAUUCACUGUGCUAUCAAGAUAUUUAGCUGGCUGACAAUAUUUUGGUCAAAUAUGUGCUAUUUUCACUGUGUUCAAUACAUACAAUAUGCAUCAAAUAGUUAAACAGUGCAGAAGAUGUGGUAAAAAAACUUGAGAGUACUACAGCUAUGUUUCUCUCCUUCACCAUGUUUCAAGUUUAUGGCCUGCCCAGCUCAGAAACUUGGGUAUCAAAAUUAUCUGUUUUCUAGUAUUAAAUAUGAUUGUAAAUAUGAGGCUGCUCAUGUCCAAUUUCCUAGGAAACUCCUAUUGACGAUAAUUCUGCAUUUAAAGUAUAGCCUUUGGCUAUACAUUGUUUUGCUUCAGGAACCAGAUUUGUUAUUGAAUAUCAAGUGUACAGUAGGAUAAAAAUACUGAAAUUGGUUAUGAUACAAAAGUAAACAAAAGUACCUGUAUAAAUACCUGUUGUUGUUGUAUUUUUAAUAUAUUGCAUAUGAAAUAAUUACAAUAAAAUUAAUCCCUGUUUUUUCUGAAAGCAAAAG